CUCAUUUCUCAAAAGGCUCAAAAGUGAAAAUCACAUGCCGAUAGUAAACAUAACCUUAAAAUACAAUUCUUUUUGCUUAAUUUUAUUUCUUAUAAAAUAGUUAUUUGUUUCAAACGUUUUAAAAUAUAUACAUGAUAUAUACCAUAUAUACAGUUUGAAAAAAUUAUUACUACAUUAAAAUGUGCAUUACUGAACGAUUGUUACAGAAGAAUUUUAUAAAUUUGACAAAGGAACGUUCGUUAAAAUAAAGUGUACUAAAUAGAGAGAAGAGAACUCGAUUAAUUAAUUAAUUAAUUCAAAAUGUUAUUUUCUUUACGAAAUUUAACAUUAUGCCUACGAAGAUGCACAAUUCGCAAAUAUCAAACUUCCGUCAAAUAUUGUUUAAAUGAAGAAUCAAUAAUUACAAAUAGAAAAUUAGAGAAUGAUACGGAAAAAAUAUUUGAAACAGUUG